rnacentral:lncRNA from 1 species
UCAAGACCUAGAAACCUAAGGACCUAGUAGAUUAAUGGAGUCUAUUUGAAAGCACAAUUCAUUUCUCAGUCUUUUAAAUUCUUUUUUUGUUUUAGUUUGUUUCAUUUUUUGAUACCAGAGAUUGAACCCUGGGGCACUUAACCACUUAACAUCCUCAGCCCUUUUUGUUUCUUAUUUUGAGACAGGGUCUUGCUUAGUUGCUGAGCCUGGACUCAAACUUACCAUCCUCCUGUCUCAGCCUCCCAGGCCACUGGGAUUACAUGUGUGCAUCACCAUGCCCAGGUUGCAUUAUUCUUUUUCUCAUUUAAAAUAUUCAAUGAGACUUUUCCCUGGACUAAGUUUUCCAAAUGGCUACAUUAUUGAGAAUUUUGACUCAAGCAUAAUGACUUAGAUAUGGGAGAAAGUACAAGUGGAUAGGGUUGGCCUCAGCAUUGUCAAGUUAUGGGGAUGGUGAUCUCCUUCCAGGGAUGAGGUUCUGUGAGGUCUCUCAGUGAGUGGAAGGCAGGUGGCAUUGCCAAGGCUCCCUCCCCAACUUCAGUCAUCUUCCAUGUGAGGAAAUAAAUGGUAAGGUACCUCCCAUAGCAGGGUCCUCUGGCCCCAGUCAGUUUACCUGCCAGGAAGGACUCAUCAGGGUAAGAAGCUCAAAAAAACAAAACAAAACAAACAAACAAACAAACAAAACAAAAACAAAACAAAACAAAAUAAAAGUAAAAAGUAAAAAACUUAAAAAGCACAGUCAAUCCCAGCCCAACACCAGGAGCUGGUCUGAAGAGUCUGGUUAUCCACAUCCAACUAUUUCUCCAGUUAAGGCAGUUGUGCCAAACACGUUCUAUUUGCCUUCUCUAGAAGCCUUCAGCACUAAAUGUGUUGGUAUUUCCACCUGAGAAAGAAUUUAAUUGCGAAAAUGAGUAGAAUGGAGACCAAGAGGAAAAAUACUGUUAGAAAUAAAAUUCCCACGGGGGUAAUUCCACAGGACAGCCGGACAUCAGACAGUUGAACUCCCUUUAGUGAUGGGGGAUUUGCACACACAGUCUCCUCCAAGUCCUCAAGUUUUUGCAGGUUUUCUUUGUACCAUGUUAAAAAGUGAAUAUUUGAGCACGUGCAGUCCAGGGGAUUGUGACUUAAAUUAAUAGUGCUCUGCUGGGACAAGAUGGAGAGGAGAUGGGGUGAGAUAAUGCCAAUGGCAUUAGCCGCCAAAUUGAGGUAGAUCCCCUUAAGAUGGCUAAGAGCAUCAAUGCUAUUUGAUGUCAGAUUAUUGUGACUUAAGUCUACGUGACUCAUUUUAUCAAGGCUGUGGAAAGCCUGCUGGUCUAUGGACAAGAGGUCACUGGAGGAUAAAACCAGAAUCUCCAAGCUUCCCACUGUCUGAAGUAGGUUGUUCUUCGGGAUACUCCCAUCUUGAAAACGAUUCCCCUGCAAGUUCAGAUGCCGAAGGUCUGGCAGGCCUGCUAGAAGAAGCUGAUUGCUGGUAUCAAGGAAGCUAUGAGAGAGAUUCAGAAUCUUCAGGUGAUGAAGGUUUUGGAAAGGACUUUGUGGUGCACUCACAUGUAAGUGGGUAAAUGACAAAUCCAAGAUCUCUAGCUGAGGACAUGCUUGGAACGCCUCCCUCUGAAAACCAAUGAGCUCAUUGUAGCUCAGGUUUAGACUUUGCAAGUGGGGAAGAUUUUUGAGCUGCAGAUUGCAGCAAUCAGAAGCUUCUAUGCCGCUAUGGCUUAAAUCAAGUUUCUGAAGAUUCUCUAGUUUUUCUAAACAGCCAGUACCGAGGUGAAGCUUCUUCAUGUUGCCUUUGAUAUAGAGGUGUGUAAGGGAGGGGAAAUUGGCAGCAUUGAUUUGACACAAUUGGUCAAAUUUAUUUACAUUGAGAACUAAUUUCUUGAGUGAGUUCAUACCCUCAAUCCCAGAGGGUAAUUCUUGCAGGUGAGUGGCCGUUAGAUCCAGAUUCUGGAGUUGGGCAAAGCAUCGAAACGUGGUGGAGGAGAAGUCAGAGAAAUGAUGCUUUUGCAGGUUGAUGCUCUCAACAGAUGUGUCACAAAGACCCUGAAAUGUGGCUGAACUUAGAUAUUGGUUAUCAAUGUCCUCAAAUGUCCCCAACCAGAGAGAUUGAAUAGUAGAGUUCCGUAGACCACUGAAUAUGACAGACAAGUCACGAGUCCCUCCAAAGUUCAAGCUUUGGAAGAAUUGUGAACUGAAAGCCCCAGGCUCAAUACCUUUAAUGUCAUUGCUAUUGAAGUUAAGACUUAGGUUGGUGGCCUGCUUCAGAGAGUUCAUAUCUUCUCUAGAAAGGUAGUGUAUAGCAUUAUUCUGAAAAUCCAGGACUUUCAGAUUCCCUGCUGGGAAAUCAUUUGGGAGCUUAAUGGAAGAAAUAUGGUUGCUCCCCAGAUGCAAACUUUCCAAGUUUUCCAGAUUGUGAGGUGGGAUAAACUCAAGACUGGAUAUUCCUGUUUGAAUUAAGAACAAAUGCUUCAGCGACUUGGGCCCGUUAAAUGCUGUUUCUGCCAUAAAUAUCAGAGGGUUUCCAGUUAAUAUCAGUGUGCUCAACUGAUGAUGGCUUUGAAAAGUGUCAUCAUGUAUCCAGUUAAUCUGGCACCUUGAAAAGAUAAUUGUAUUUAACAAUGAUUAAUUAGAAAAAAAAAGGGAAAAUGCUGUCACCACAUUCCCAAAGCCAUCUUUUGUAUACCAUAAAACACUAUAUGUUAUCCAACACAAAAAACUUUCUUCCAUACCCACAGAUGGUCUGUCAAGAUAAUUAAUGAAUAGCCCUAGUACUGAAAGCUCUGAUUUGGAAUUUAUUCCAGAUGUCUGUCUUUCCUAUUUAGAUAGAACACUCAGAGGUUUAUAUUUGUAUUCUAAGGAACAAUUAGUGGUUUGAUUUUUUUUGUAGGCAAAACCAAACUGUGAUUUAUUAUAUUAAGUAAUAUAAAAUAUGCCAUAUGUAAUGUAUAAUAGAUAAUACAUGGUAUGUAUUUAUCCUUGGCAUCCUUGGCAAGUUAAAGCCUAUUUGGGGGGAAGAAAGAGUUGCUGGGGAUUGAGCGUAUGCCCUUACACAUGCUAGGCAUGUGCUACAUGCCACACUCAGCCUUCCUCUUUCAUCUAUGAAAUACAAAAAUAAUGACUAUUUUGUAGAAUUAUUGUAUGUCAAAUGAUGUAUGUAAAAAUGCUCCAUUGAACUACAGAAUGCUAGAAGUUAAGAGAAAUCCAUCCUGGUACUGCAUCUUAAAGUACUGGAUUAAACACACACACUUACACACACACACACACACACACACACACACUGAUAGUUUCUGCAUCUAACUGCAGAAAUGGGUGGUAAUAUUAAUUGGCACCCCACAGAGGUGAUUGUAAAGAUGAAACAGUGCUAUGGGUGUGUGCUUUCUUCCACUUUGCAGAAACUCAAGUGGAAAGACACAAGUGGAAGUCAUUGAACUACUGCAAGAGGUACAGAAGUCAUGAACAUGUGGGGUCCCUUCCCCCACUCCACACACACACACACACACACACACAAGCUGCACAUCCCUUCUGUUUUCCUCCCAUACUUUCUUGUAAUACUUUUGUCCACUGGUUCUCAAACAUUUGUUCAGGAUAUGGAAUCCUGAUUCUGCCUCUAAAGCCAAAUAAUGGAACUCUUUUUUCAAUUUAAAAAAAAAAAAGAAUUAGUAGGUAUGUGUGUUUCUCAUAACUUUUGUUACAUGCGAUUCACCUAAUAGUAGUCAACUGUGUUAAAAUAUAGUAUAAUAUGGUGUCUGAUUCAGUGCAGAAUUUAUUUUCACUUUUUUUUAAUAUUCCUUAGAAAUUCUUCAAUGGUACUGCUGAUGCAGCUAGUUUGAAAACAACUCACUUUCCUGUCCAUUGAUUGUUGUUUAUUUAAAUUACACUUCACUUGCAUUAAAGUAUUUCAGAUGAAGGAGUAAAUGAAAAUACAGAAUAAGCAGAGUGUCCCUGUGCCCCAAAAGAAGAUCCUGGGGACAAUUCAAAUGCAAAUUUUGUUUCUUCUUAAGUAAAACAUCAAGAGUACACAGGAACUCAGAUACAUACCUGGUUAAAUCCAAAAAAGUAAGAUCUAUGAGUCUGCUGAAAGUUGUAUUUUGAAUUGUAGGCAAGAAAUUAAAGCUGAAUUCCAAAAAUUCUGUUGUGUUUGGUAGGGUGUCAGGAAUUUCACUGAGACCUAAAUUUUCACAGUUAUAUGUUUUGUUGGCUUCUUUCUGAUGGGAGAAAUAAUGGAAAUUAAUAUAGGAUUUAGAGAUUUGAUUGACUAUCUAGAAAAAUUAGACACAUUUUACCCUUUGAGCAGCAAUCCCACUUUUAGUAAUCCUUACCAAAUAUGUUCUUGCAAAAACACAACAUGAGGGCCUGGGGUUGUGGCUCAGUGGUAGAGUGCUUGCCUAGUGUGUGUGAGGUACUGGGUUUGAUUCUCAGCACAGCAUAAAAAUAAAUAAAUUAAUUAAUUAAAGGUAUUGUGUCCAACUACAACUAAAAAAAAUAUUAAAAAACAACAUGAUUUGUCCAUGAUAUUAUUCAUUAUAUAUAUAUAUAUAUAUAUAUAUAUAUAUAUAUAUAUAUAUAUAUAUAUUUGUAAUAGCAAAACCAGGCUAUCUAUCAAUGUGGAAAUAAUUGACCAAAAUGGAAACCUCAGCAACAAUGAGAAAGAUCUGCAUAAAUUGGUAGGGAGUGAGAUCCAGGAUAUGAUGUAAGGUGAAAAAACAAAGCGUCUAACAGUGUAUGCAGUGUAUAUAGCAUAGAGUAUGCUAGGUUUUCAUAACAAGGAUACUUGAGCUGGGCUCAAUGGUGCAUGCCUGUAAUUCCAGUGGCUUGGGAGACUGAGGCAAGAGGAUCCUGAGUUCAAAGCCAGCCUCAGCUUCUUAGUGAGCCCCUAAAGCAACUUAACAAGACCCUAUCUCUAAAUAAGUGCUAGGAAUGUGGCUCAGUGGGAAAGUGCCCCUGGGUUAAAUCCCUGGUACCAAAAAAUAUAUAUUAUCAUAUUUUCUAAAAGAAACUAUGGCUAAAAAAUUCAGUGAUCUUUAAGAGGACAGAAAGUACCCGAUAGAGGAGUAAAAAUAUAAAUAAGAUUCCUCUGAUUAUACUUUGGUUAGUUUUGAUUUGGAGUAAAUAGAAGUGUUUGUUUCAUCUUGAAAAUAAGCAAAUAAUAUUAAAUUGGCAUCAGAAAAAUAGGACAAUGAGACAUUAUUCACUUUCUGACAUAGUACAAUAUGAAGUACACAGAGCCACCUAUGAAGUAUUCUUGCCAAAAAGAAAGUAAUUAACUUGAAUUCAAUGAAGAUCUUAGGUCUACUUUUCACAUCUACAAGUGAUAUGACAGAUUUAAGCUAAUGGUAGCAGUUAAUCAAAUGCAAAAAGUUGCACAUAAUAUAAAACAUCUUUGUUUUAUUAGUAUGUGAAAGAGAGAGAAAGAAAGAGAAGGGAGACAGCUUUAAAAAAAACACAAAGUGGUACAAAAGCUACUUAAGAAAUACAACUAACAAAUAACAGACUAGGCUUUGUUUAGAUUAUGACUCAAGUAGAACAGUUAGAAAAAGACAUUUUUAGAUAAACAGAGGCAUUUAAAUGAGAUAGAAUUUGAUGGUAUUAAGAAAUAAUGAAUUAGCAUCUGCAUAUGAGAGAAAACAUAACAGGCUUUUGUUUUUUGAGAUUGGCUUAUUUUGCUUAGCAUGAUAUUCUCCAACUCCAUCCAUUUACUGGCAAAUGCCAUAAUUUCUCUCUUCUUUAAAGCUGAGUAAUAUUCCAAUAAAAAAAGAAAUUAUGAAUUUUGUUAAUGUUAGAGGCCUUAUGGUUAUAUACAAUCAAUAUUCCUUUUUUUUUUCUUUUGAGAUGCAUAUUUAAGUAUUUAGAUUUAAAAUGAUGUGAUGUUUGGAAUUUGCUUAAAAAUACCCGGCAAAAAAUGAUAGGAGGAAUGGACAGAUAAAAAUUAGUAAGUAAAAUGGUGAUGUUUGCUGGAUGUGGAGUGAUAUUUAUGUGGAGGUUGCUUAUCCAAAAUUUAAAAAUCUUAACCUAACUAGGUAAAAGUUGGAAACAGUUAUGAUGAUGUAAUCAUAAUUAAUCUGGAUGACACUUCAGCAUGAAGAGUAAGGGGGCACCUAGGAAGGGGCAUGUCUUUCCUGUAGAAGCUUCCUAGGUAAGAAAGAAAUGAUCUCCAGGACACAUGCCCCUUGGAGGCCCCAAGAGAUGGGUACCAAGGACCAUGAACCAGCUCUUAGAUGUCUCAGGCCCCAGGUGACUUCAUCCAUCCUUCUUGUCCUUGCCUCUCCUGAUCAUACCUAGGCUUCUUAGAGGCUCCUCUGAGCCCUGACUGCAAAAGAUCUAUCCCACCAAACUCCAGAUCAGCUGCUCUCCAGAUCAGUUGCAAAGAGACCUGCUUAGCUGGAAACAGAACUGGAAGUGUUCUUCUUUUCCCUGAAUCAUGAGGCUCAGGAUGUUGCCAUUUUAAUCUUUUUUUUUUUUUUUUUGCUUUUCUCCAAUUUCUGCUUAGUUGUGCAUUUUUUAUAGCAACAGUGAGCAUGUACAUCUAUAAGAAAUCACUAGUUUCCUUCAAUAUUGUGACAAUAUCAUAGUUGUCACUGAUGAAAAUGCCAUAUUUAUAUUUCCUUGUAAUUCAUUCUUCAUUCUUAUAGACCCAAAGUCCUCUAGGCACUGCUGCAAAUCUAUAUAAUGUCCUUGAAAUGCACAGUUUGCAUUGGAAACUUGGAUUUAACUGACUGGUGAGGAAAAAAAAUAUUUUAUUUUGCUAUACUGUCCUUGGUGGCCAGACAACCCAGAAAGUAUGUGUAUGUGCAGCUGCAGUCCCUAUAGUUGCCAUGGUGCUGAUCAGCUUGAAGGAGACAAUUUUCUUUUCUGGUCUCCAUUGGCAUAACUGAUUUCAUGUACGCUUGGAGAAAGGGGACUUCCCCCAAUUCGUCUUGCUCUAUUCUGACCCUACAGCAAAAGUCUCAAUGCUGGCAAUUCCUUCCUUCUACUGAAUAUGCAAGUGCCCCGUGACACCUAAAUUAUUCCAUGUCUCAGCCUCUUGUGUGCUUUAGUAAGUACUUUAUUGAAAUAAUGUGAUUCAGAAAAUUGAGAAUCCAGGAGGACCUCUACUGAGCCAGUGGCCUGAGGGAACAACUAGGAAAAGGAAAAGUUAGUAAAUGAAAAGAUCUCUUUUACCUAGCAGAGAGCUAGGGCCCAAGGGUUACCAGCAGCCUGCCCAAAGCUUGUGCUUUGUAAUCUCAAGUUAGGUGGAAAUGGCAAUAAACUCUCUGCCCUUGAUUGUCAGGAGAAAGAGGAAGUGACAAGAGAUGCAGCUAAGAGAAUUUAAAAACCAAACAGAUUUUCGGAAAUGUCUUGGACUCAACACACACGUGGCCCUCCCUUACAGUUUGUGUAAUCACAAUUAUACUGUCAAUAUUGGUAUGAUGAUGGGAUACCAAAGCACCACACACUCCAGAAUCAUCCAAGAAGCAUUCAAUUAUAUUUAGUAGACUGUCUUUUUUAAGGUUGAAAGUGCAUGUGUGUGUGUGCCCCUUGAUUUUGAACAGGGGUGGGCAUGGGACAGUUGUCAUGAAUACCAGGCAGCUUUACUACAGCUCUGCUGUUGCUAGCAUAAUGAGACUAUUAGUCUCAUUCUUUAUGAAUGGGAGUAAGAUAGCAUGAACUUUCACCCCUAAAUAUCUUAUAUGUCUUAAGGAUAUAUAAUCACAAUGCUAUUAUCAAAUUCAGAAUAUUUAAUAUUUAAUGCUGAUUCAAUGUUACUACCAACAUAGUCUAUAUUCAAAUUUUGCUACUUGUCUCAACAUUGUCCUUUACAGUAAUUUUUGUUUUUCCAACCCAGGAUCAUAUACUGAUUACAUUUCGUUGUCAUAGCUCCUUAGAUUCCUUUAAUUUGAGACAAUUCUUUAGCCUGUCAUCAUGUGUUAUGACACUGGUAUCUUCUGAAGAAUACAGCCUCAUAUCUAGCAGAAUGUUUCUCAUUAUGGGUUCAUAUGUUUCCUCAUAAUUGACUCAGGUUAUACAUUUUUUUUUUGGUAAAAAUACUAUAUCAGUCAUGUUGUGUCUUUCUCCCAGUCAAGAUUCAGAUCAAAACUUUCAGAAAGUUCUGAUAGAUCAGCACAGGGUUGCAGAACAGCAGAGUUACAAUUCUUCAGUGAAUGAAGACAGGAUGCAGAAAAGGAACAGACAGCUUGGUCACUGCCAGCACUACAUGCUUUAUUUUUAUAUCCAGACAGACACAACCCACACUGUAGUUUCCCUGAGAUCCACAUGUCCACUUCCCACAAGCCCAGUCUUGUCUUUCUAUAAUUCAGUAGAUGGUCAGUUUCCAAAGUUGCUUUCUUAUUCCUCUAAUGUGGCUGGUGGCAAUUGCAGACAGGAUCCUUCUGACAUAACUCUGGUAAAGCUGCCUGGUAUUCAUGACAACUGUUCUAUGCCCACCCCUAUUCAAAAUCAACGGGCAUUUGCUUAGGACUCACUGUACCCUGGGACCUGUGCCAAUCAUUUUGUCUCCAGCUUGGUCUCAGAGCUGUGCCUUUUACCCAGAUCAAGGCUCCCAAGUGCUACAUUUAUAUUUGCAAUCCCUUUUCCCUGCAGGUAUUCAUUUGCAUUUUUUCAAUCAGGAUCUUAUUUUGCUUCUUUCUGCAAUGUAUCUCUAACUCCCUCCCAUCCCACUGUAUUUUCUCUCCUUGCAAGUGUGGAAGCAUUUUCUAAUUUGGAACGCUUUGAAUUCCACUCAAGUGCUUAUUCCCACCUUUUCAGGCGUCUCAUCUGCACUUGACACAUGCAUGCACAAGGAGUCUGGGACACUGCCCCCCAACCCUCCCUCUUUAAUCACACCUCUAUCCAAGAGAGAGCAAUUUGGCUAGUAAGAUGAAUCUUAGAGCAAUGAUUACUCUCUGAAAACAAAAUAAAACAAACACCCCCAAGAAGGCACAUCCCUAAAACUUUGGGCAUUCCAAUUAUAUGUUUGUCUGUUUGUUUGUUUGUUUAUUUAUUUAUUUUGUCUUUAUAAUCAGUCCACUGGAGUUCAAGUCCCAGCUCUUAACACAAAAUUCUGUUGUCUGGACAUGUGGUUUCUCCAGCUGUGGACUGGGGAUGAUAAUCUCAUCUUGCAGUCUUACUAUGAGGAUUAAAAUGUGUGUCAGUACUAAAAGAAGUUAGCCCUUAAUGGGAUCUGCAUAGCAUCAUAUCAUUAUCUAAAGCUAUUAGGAAGUUCUUACAUCCAUAAACUUGAGUACCCCUCAAAAAGUGCUCUGCUGAGGACCCCUGCUCCAUACCUAGAGACUGAAGGACACUCUCCUAUUGUGGUUUUGGGGGAAGAGAAUGGUUAAGAGGAGCCCAUUUGAAAUGGGAAGGCCUGCCUGCCCUCUUGAAGUAACUAUUCUAAGUUGCAUGUAAAAUGUUCCCAUGAUCAAAAUCCAAAUCACUGAACACUGGAUUCCUGCUACUCUUCAUAUUUGUCAUCCUCUGAAGGCUUGGUCAUGGCUAUAAUUUUGUUACUUACCUCUCUAUAUACAUAUAUUUCACAUUCACACACACACAGAGAAAACAUACAACAUCUAGCAAUGGAAGAAUCUGCUUGAAAGGUUUGUGAGUGUUCAUUGUAAUGUCUCUCAAAUGCAUUGGUAGGUUUGAACUCCCAUAUAUACAUUUAUAUAUAUAUAUGUUGUAGUUGGACACAAUACCUUUAUUUUGUUUAUUUAUUUUUAUGUGGUGCUGAGGAUCAAACCCAGUGCCUCACAUGUUCUAGGUAAGUGCCCUACUGCUGAGCCACAACCCCAGUCCAGUUUAAACUCCUUUUUAUCAAAAAGUUUUAUUAAAAAUUAUUCCCAACUGCCACCUGGCAUGCAUGAAACAUAGAAGUAGAAAUAAAUAUGAAACAAAUUCCUAGACAAAAUCACUGGAUAAUAUCAUCAUAGUCUUGGGAUAACCAAAAUUUCUUAAGCAUGGACAUGCAAGGAAACUAAAGGAAAAAUGAUACUUUGAGCUAUAAUAAAAUUAAGAACUUCUAUUUAGCAAAAGAUACCAUUAAGGGGAGUAGAAAGAUAAGUCACAGAGUAGGAGAAGAUAAAUUUGCAUUCUCAUAUGGGAUUUUUAUUCACAAAACAUAAACAAUAUCUACAAAUCAAGACAGCCUAUGAGAAAAUGGGCAAGAGACUUGAACAGGUACCUCACACACAUAAAAGGGAUUAUGCAGGGCUGAGAAUGUAGCUCAGUGAUAGAGCUCUUGCCUAGUAUGCACAAAGCCCUGUGUCUGAUCCUGGACAAAACAUACACACAUGUAAUGUAAUGAUUAGCCAAAGUAUGAAUAUUUGCUCAAAUUAAUUAUUCUUCAAGAAAACAAAAAUUAGGGUUCAAUCCCCAGCACCACAGAAAGAAAGAAAGAAAGAAAGAACAAAAGAAAGCAAGCAAGCAAAAAUUAAAUCUCAGGGAAAUACUACUACCUUCCCAUCACAAGGGCCAACACUUAAAAACAAACAAUAUAAAAUGCUAGUGAGGGCUGGGGAUGUGGCUCAAGCGGUAACAAGUUAGCCUGGCACGCGCUGGGUGCUGGGUUCGAUCCUCAGCACCACAUAAAAAUAAAGAUGUUGUGUCCACCAAAAACUAAAAAUAAAUAAAUAAAUAUUUAAAAAUUGCCUCUCUCUCUCUCUUUAAAAAAAAUAAAAAAAUAAAAUGCUAGUGAAUCUGUGGAGCAAUUAGAAUUCAUAAACUUUUCCAAUAGUAUAAAUUGGUACCAACAUUUUAGGAAACCAUUUGGCAAUAUCAAAGUUAAAAUUAUGUAUACCCUAUGACCAAAUACAUCCAUUCUAAGGCACCAAAUAAAUAUUCAUACCUUUGUUAAUUAAAGACAACAACACCCAAAAUAGCAUCAUUCAUGACAGUCAAAAAACUACAAACAAUGCCAAUAUCCAUUAACAGUAGAAGGCAUUAAUAAAUGGCAGCUCACUGAUCAAACAGUGUGGUUCAGUCAUGAGCUUGAACGAAUGACUGCUGCACACACCACCAAGGAUUUAACGUUGAGCAAAAGAAGGCAGACAGACAAAAAAUGCACACCAUGGGCUUCCACGUUUAUAAGCUCAAAUCCAGGCAAAAAGAAUGAUGACGAUAGAAGUUAGAGGACUGGAUGCCUUUGGGGAUUAGUGACAGGGAGGAGGCAUGAGGAAAGCUUCCAUGUACUGAGCAUGUUCUGUGUUCUCAUCUAUGUGCUGGUUAUAUGAAUAUAUUCACUUGGUGAAAAUGCAUUUAACCUCACAUUUAGGGCUUGUAUUUUGUUUCAACAAAAAGAUUGCUAAACUCGAAGUGAAACAAAACCAAAAUCUANAUGCCAAUGGCAUUAGCCGCCAAAUUGAGGUAGAUCCCCUUAAGAUGGCUAAGAGCAUCAAUGCUAUUUGAUGUCAGAUUAUUGUGACUUAAGUCUACCUGACUCAUUUUAUCAAGGCUGUGGAAAGCCUGCUGGUCUAUGGACAAGAGGUCACUGGAGGAUAAAACCAGAAUCUCCAAGCUUCCCACUGUCUGAAGUAGGUUGUUCUUCGGGAUACUCCCAUCUUGAAAACGAUUCCCCUGCAAGUUCAGAUGCCGAAGGUCUGGCAGACCUGCUAGAAGAAGCUGAUUGCUGGUAUCAAGGAAGCUAUGAGAGAGAUUCAGAAUCUUCAGGUGAUGAAGGUUUUGGAAAGGACUUUGUGGUGCACUCACAUGUAAGUGGGUAAAUGACAAAUCCAAGAUCUCUAGCUGAGGACAUGCUUGGAACGCCUCCCUCUGAAAACCAAUGAGCUCAUUGUAGCUCAGGUUUAGACUUUGCAAGUGGGGAAGAUUUUUGAGCUGCAGAUUGCAGCAAUCAGAAGCUUCUAUGCCGCUAUGGCUUAAAUCAAGUUUCUGAAGAUUCUCUAGUUUUUCUAAACAGCCAGUACCGAGGUGAAGCUUCUUCAUGUUGCCUUUGAUAUAGAGGUGUGUAAGGGAGGGGAAAUUGGCAGCAUUGAUUUGACACAAUUGGUCAAAUUUAUUUACAUUGAGAACUAAUUUCUUGAGUGAGUUCAUACCCUCAAUCCCAGAGGGUAAUUCUUGCAGGUGAGUGGCCGUUAGAUCCAGAUUCUGGAGUUGGGCAAAGCAUCGAAACGUGGUGGAGGAGAAGUCAGAGAAAUGAUGCUUUUGCAGGUUGAUGCUCUCAACAGAUGUGUCACAAAGACCCUGAAAUGUGGCUGAACUUAGAUAUUGGUUAUCAAUGUCCUCAAAUGUCCCCAACCAGAGAGAUUGAAUAGUAGAGUUCCGUAGACCACUGAAUAUGACAGACAAGUCACGAGUCCCUCCAAAGUUCAAGCUUUGGAAGAAUUGUGAACUGAAAGCCCCAGGCUCAAUACCUUUAAUGUCAUUGCUAUUGAAGUUAAGACUUAGGUUGGUGGCCUGCUUCAGAGAGUUCAUAUCUUCUCUAGAAAGGUAGUGUAUAGCAUUAUUCUGAAAAUCCAGGACUUUCAGAUUCCCUGCUGGGAAAUCAUUUGGGAGCUUAAUGGAAGAAAUAUGGUUGCUCCCCAGAUGCAAACUUUCCAAGUUUUCCAGAUUGUGAGGUGGGAUAAACUCAAGACUGGAUAUUCCUGUUUGAAUUAAGAACAAAUGCUUCAGCGACUUGGGCCCGUUAAAUGCUGUUUCUGCCAUGAAUAUCAGAGGGUUUCCAGUUAAUAUCAGUGUGCUCAAC